CGGACGGGUGAGUAAUGCCUAGGAAUCUGCCUGGUAGUGGGGGACAACGUUUCGAAAGGAACGCUAAUACCGCAUACGUCCUACGGGAGAAAGCAGGGACCUUCGGGCCUUGCGCUAUCAGAUGAGCCUAGGUCGGAUUAGCUAGUUGGUGAGGUAAUGGCUCACCAAGGCGACGAUCCGUAACUGGUCUGAGAGGAUGAUCAGUCACACUGGAACUGAGACACGGUCCAGACUCCUACGGGAGGCAGCAGCU
rnacentral:rRNA from 1 species